rnacentral:lncRNA from 1 species
UUCCAGCUCUAUCAUUUACUACCAAAGGCUUUAAUUUCACUUUUCCAACAGCUGGCUAAAGUUUCCCUGGGAAUCUGACUAUGUUUCCCUUAUCUGUUCAUGUGUGAACAGACAUCUGGGCUGGUUCCACACCUUGAACAAAAGGAGUGUAGCACAAGGAGCAAACAAGAUGGAUCUCCCACAAGCCUCUCUACACCCUCCUGUAUAUGAGAACAUACUGGCAUCCUGACAGUGUGUUCACCCUGGAAGUAAAUCCUUGGCAUUCAUUCGCACAUCUGCCGAGACUGGAAACUUCAGACCACUGAGAGAUGGACUCCUGGCUGCUGCGGAAGACAUGCUGGACCUGCAGAUGGGCAGACAGGGUACCAUGGUCUCCCUGGAGUAUUCUAGAAAUCAGGCACAUGUCAGGUCUCCUAUCGGGACAGCUCUGGAGGAACCUCCUAACCAGCGUCUUCCCCUUGCAUCCGUCUUUUGCGUUUGCCUCACACUUUCCACUAGACUGCUCUUUCGAUAGACCAACUAACCUCACUGAGGGUGAAAUCCCAGCACUUAAGAGGCUAAGGCAGGGAGACGGUGAGCUUGAAGCCAGUCAGGACUAAACAAAGAGAUCCUCCCUCCCCAGCAACCUUGAAAGCUGGUCGUGGUGGCAUAAGUCAGCAAUUCUAGUCCUCGGCAAAUGGACUAUUAGGAAUUCAUGUUCAUUCUUGGCUACAUAAGGAGUUCAAGGGUAGUCUUGGCUACAUAAGGGGGCCAUCUCUUUUCCCUCUCCUCAUUAAAAACCAAAAGUAAUCCUGAAUGUAAGAGGAGCAGACAGGAAACUCGCUCAAUUCCAGAACUAUAGAGCUAGAGCGCCCCCCCCCCAACUCCCGUGGAUAGGUCUAGAAAUAUUUCUACUGAAGCUACAGGUGGUGGCCUGGGGCUGUCAUCAGCACAGGGAGCUUGGGUGAGGCGUGUUGAGCAUCAUGGAAAUGGAGUUAGCAAGCUCUUCUUGCCAAGGUUUUAGGAUCUUGGUGGUGGAUUUAUUACACCAAAGAUAGGAAAUUUCCGUGGAUGCUGACUCUCCAUUGGCAAGAUUCCCGUCUUCACUGAGAAAUAAGGAGUGAGCAAAUGAAUUCAAAUGCAUGCCAUUGGGUUGCACGAACUGUCAUCAGCCGCUAUGCUCCUAACCCCUGUUCACUAAGGGUGCCGUUCAACAGAAUCAUGAAAGCUCUGUAUGUUUACUUAGACAUGAUGUACUGGAAAUCACGAUAAACGAAACACUUAAAACUCAACAAACGAAUAGAAUUCAGAUAACUCGUAUCUGUGUUUGGCUGGGAAGGCAGCCAAGUGAUAAUGUGUUUGGGAUUAAUUUUCUUUAAGGGAAAACAAAUUAAUUACUCAGUAAAUAUAGUUUGCUAGACAAGUUCUCUCAAAACUUGGGAGGAAAAAACUGAUAAAAAAUGCUCAUUAAUGAUUCAGACAAAGUUUUUUUUUGUUUGUUUAAAAGUCGCCUACUUUACCUCAAGAGGCAAAUAUUUGCUUUUAUGUGUCAGCCUUAAAAUAUUGAUAUAAUUGAAUAAAGAUCAGGCUGACAGUUAAUCA